AGCAGCCGCGGUAAUUCCAGCUCCAAUAGCGUAUAUUAAAGUUGUUGCAGUUAAAAAGCUCGUAGUUGAAUUUCGGGAUUUGUCAGUUGGUCGGGCUUCACUGUCCGUACUGGCUUGAUGGAUUCUUACUUUCUGAAUAACCAGCAUGCUAUUAAGUUAGUGCGUUGGGGAAGCAGAUCUAUUACCUUGAAAAAUUAGAGUGCUUAAAGCGGGCUUGUGCUUGAAUAGAUUAGCAUGGAAUAAUAAAAUAGGACGGCAUGGUUCUAUUUUGUUGGUUUCUAGGAUCACCGUAAUGAUUAAUAGGGAUAGUUGGGGGCAUUAGUAUUCAAUUGUCAGAGGUGAAAUUCUUGGAUUUAUUGAAGACUAACUUCUGCGAAAGCAUUUGCCAAGGAUGUUUUCAUUAAUCAAGAACGAAAGUUAGGGGAUCGAAGACGAUCAGAUACCGUCGUA
rnacentral:rRNA from 1 species